AUUUUGAUAUUAAGAUUUACCAAUACAAGAAACUUACGUAUGAGAGAUCUACUUUUAGUUUAAAACUCUACUCAUUUAAUAAAAAAAAUCAACCUCGAGACCUCUUUGGUUUAGUAGCUGUCAUUCUGUUUCUACAAGCCCAAUUUAGCUCGGGCCCAGCACACUCAAAACAGACAAGAAAAGAAACUAAAAAUAAUAAACAGACCAGCCCAAAUGCAAGCCUAACAAGCUCAAACCCGAAGCCCAAUACAAAACCAAACCCUAGCAACUUCAAAAAAAAAAAACAUCAACCCUAGCCUGUUGCCUCAGCACCUAGGCCUGUCCCUCUGCCACCGCCGCGCUACCAGCUCUGCCACCACCUGCUCCCCUCCAUCAAUGCCUGCAACAGAAAAGACAGCAUAUAAAAUAGGUUAAAGUUUUGUAAAAUGGCUAUAAAAAGCCAUGAAAAAUUUGUAAUGGAGAUCCUUCUUU
rnacentral:lncRNA from 1 species